GGUUGCUGUGGAGAUAAGGCCCAGCUGAGAAGAAUGGAAUUUUAAACCCUGAAAAGUUGGCACAGGUGAUCAGUGUCCAGGCUAUGCCACUUCAAAGCAGAGGAAAUAGUUCACCCAAUGAAAUACUCUUCAAAAGAAAAAAAACACAAACACAAUAUGCUUAUGAAGGCAACACUAACCACCUGAAAAGAAGAAAUCAUGGGAUAUGGUAGUUCAAUGUUCACAGACAAAGCCCUCAAUAAAAGUUCUUUAUGGAGUACUAAGCCUCGGUGUUGUCAAACUGCUGGUAAGAAGCUGUCUAUGAGAACUUUCUUGGCUGUCUUCUUGCAACAUCUAGUUCUCACCAUUAAAGGACUGCAUUCUCUGACAGAAUCCUUGCUAUCUGGAUUAAUCAAAUCCCAGCCAAAGCCAAGAAACUUUGUGGAUAGCUUCCCUUCUGUCUCUUAUGAUCUCUUUAGAAGAAGGUGGACAGCCAGAGAUUUAAGUCUGCACUUGUUCCUAUCUGUCUAAGAAAAAAAAAAAAACCAAAAAAACUCUCAGAGGAAACAGCCAGAGUCUCUUUGCUCUUCCAAGCAUAUGGGAAAAUAUGAACUUGCAGCCCCUUGAACAUCUUGCAACUGAAUUAUUUUCAACAUCCUCUAUCAAUUUACACCUCCACACACUUCACAGGAACUGACAGAAGGAUGUAUUUUAUCUGCCAGGUUUAGCCAAAGAGACUGCUCUGUCAAGGUAUUUAGUGUUAAUUGUUAAACACAUUCUGCAAUAAAUCUUGUAUUUCAGAUUCAGAUGCAAGUUUAUUUGAGUCAGACAAUGGGCUGAAAGCUAAGUUUAACUUUCAGAUAUUUCAAAAAAGGAUAUGAUAUACCUCUCCAGAAAGAAUUUUCUCCGUAUUUUACUGUGGCAUAUUUUUCACGAACUCUAUUCUGUUCCUACUGAUCUAGUUUAAGUUUUCAUUGUUUGGAAUGGUGCAUCUGUGUGUUUGUCACAAAGAUAGAUGUUCUUUUAUUCCCUCAUUAUCUCCAAGACCUUUCCUCAGUUGAUUCCAUGUGGAACUGAGGAGAAAGGCUUGUCAAACAAAGGAGGGAUAUAUGAUACCGUGAAAAGAAGAACAAGUAGGUGGGUUUGGAAAAGAAUGGAUUGGGUUUUAUGUGAGAUUUUAGCAAAUAAUUUAGCCAAUCUGUCAGCAGGAGCUUGCAGUGUGACUCCUUGUUCCAGAUACUAUGUUUAAGCAAGAGAGAAAUUUCAUUUGAAUAACUUUUGGGGAGAAGCAUUAUUAUUCACCAGGUUUGUAACUAUGUCCACACUGGACAGCUACUGCUGUUCUUCCAAUUUCUUUAUCAUCCUGAUUGGUCCAAUCAUCCAACUAGAAUAUUUGGGUUUUUUACUUAACCUCCUGUUCUGAUGUUGUUUGCAAAACUCUGCUUUUUUAAAGAAAAAGAAAAGUUUAUCUGCCCAUGUUUGGCUGCUUCAUAGUAUGCCAGAAUACAAGUAAGCAAAUAUGGUCAUUUUGCCUUGCCAGGGAAAGAGUGGAAAGAUUUUUUUAAAAAUCUGAUCCACUGCAGAUAGAAAGUGCUUUAGAUGUUUUGACUGCAUAAGCAAUCUCUGUCAGAUCAGCGUAAGAACACUUAGAGACAUGAUAAUAACAACAACAAUUCAGCUCUUUAAGGCUGCAAAACACAGUAGAAGGACAUACCAGAUAAUACAUGAUAAUAAAAAUGCCCUUCUAACACAAUAUAUGAGUUUAGCACAGAUGAUAAUUCACCUAGUGGGGAAGGGGUUCUUAAAAAAUCAAAAUUAGGGCCAUCUAGUUUGCUAGAAUGGGAUACACAUUUGAUAAAUAUAUGAAAGUCACUCCAGAUGACAGCCAGGUGGCCAUGCAACCUCAGAUUUUUGGUUCUCUUUUUUUUCCCCUAGUCAAACAUAGUUUACAGAAUUGGGGAGGCUGGAUCUUUCUUUCUUUCUUUCUUUCUUUUUCUUUCUCUUUCUUUCUUUCUUUCUUUCUUUCUUUCUUUCUUUCUUUCUUUCUUUUAAGCAAUAACUUAUUUGCAAAAUCUAAUGGUAGAAUGAUUCUUCAACGACAAAGUAAUUUGUGACUCUUUCAUUACUUUAUUUUACAAUCUUACUAUUUUACUGUUAUCUUUAUUGCAUUUUAUGGCACACUAUGUUAUGACACUAUGUUAUGGUUACAACAAUAAACUUACUUGUUCAACAAA